rnacentral:miRNA from 1 species
UCACUGGGAGGAAAGUUUCUAU